rnacentral:rRNA from 1 species
GAUGAACGCUAGCGGCAGGCUUAACACAUGCAAGUCGAGGGGUAACAUAGAAAAGCUUGCUUUUCUGAUGACGACCGGCGCACGGGUGCGUAACGCGUAUACAACCUACCUUUUAGCGGGGAAUAGCCCAGGGAAACUUGGAUUAAUGCCCCAUAGUAUAUAGACUUCUCCUGAAGUUUAUAUUAAACAUUUAUGGCUAUUAGAUGGGUAUGCGUCCUAUUAGUUAGUUGGUAAGGUAACGGCUUACCAAGGCAGCGAUAGGUGGGGGUCCUGAGAGGGAGAUCCCCACACUGGUACUGAGACACGGACCAGACUCCUACGGGAGGCAGCAGUGAGGAAUAUUGGACAAUGGGCGAGAGCCUGAUCCAGCCAUGCCGCGUGCAGGAAGACUGCCCUAUGGGUUGUAAACUGCUUUUACAGAGGAAGAACCACCCCCACGUGUGGGGGUUUGACGGUACUCUGCGAAUAAGGAUCGGCUAACUCCGUG